rnacentral:tRNA from 1 species
GCCGGGUUAGCUCAGCUGGCAGAGCAGCUGACUUGUAAUCAGCAGGCCGUCGGUUCGAUUCCGACACCCGGCU